UACGGGGGGAGCAAGCGUUGUUCGGAUUUACUGGGCGUAAAGGGCGCGUAGGCGGCCUGUGCAAGUCAGUUGUGAAAUCUCCGAGCUUAACUCGGAACGGUCAACUGAUACUGCUCGGCUAGAGUGCGGAAGGGGCAACUGGAAUUCUUGGUGUAGCGGUGAAAUGCGUAGAUAUCAAGAGGAACACCUGCGGCGAAGGCGGGUUGCUGGGCCGACACUGACGCUGAGGCGCGAAAGCGUGGGGAGCAAACAGG
rnacentral:rRNA from 1 species